rnacentral:rRNA from 1 species
GGUUAAGCGACUAAGCGUACACGGUGGAUGCCCUGGCAGUCAGAGGCGAUGAAGGACGUGCUAAUCUGCGAUAAGCGUCGGUAAGGUGAUAUGAACCGUUAUAACCGGCGAUUUCCGAAUGGGGAAACCCAGUGUGUUUCGACACAUUAUCAUUAACUGAAUCCAUAGGUUAAUGAGGCGAACCGGGGGAACUGAAACAUCUAAGUACCCCGAGGAAAAGAAAUCAACCGAGAUUCCCCCAGUAGCGGCGAGCGAACGGGGAGCAGCCCAGAGCCUGAAUCAGUGUGUGUGUUAGUGGAAGCGUCUGGAAAGGCGCGCGAUACAGGGUGACAGCCCCGUACACAAAAAUGCACAUGCUGUGAGCUCGAUGAGUAGGGCGGGACACGUGGUAUCCUGUCUGAAUAUGGGGGGACCAUCCUCCAAGGCUAAAUACUCCUGACUGACCGAUAGUGAACCAGUACCGUGAGGGAAAGGCGAAAAGAACCCCGGCGAGGGGAGUGAAAAAGAACCUGAAACCGUGUACGUACAAGCAGUGGGAGCACGCUUAGGCGUGUGACUGCGUACCUUUUGUAUAAUGGGUCAGCGACUUAUAUUCUGUAGCAAGGUUAACCGAAUAGGGGAGCCGAAGGGAAACCGAGUCUUAACUGGGCGUUAAGUUGCAGGGUAUAGACCCGAAACCCGGUGAUCUAGCCAUGGGCAGGUUGAAGGUUGGGUAACACUAACUGGAGGACCGAACCGACUAAUGUUGAAAAAUUAGCGGAUGACUUGUGGCUGGGGGUGAAAGGCCAAUCAAACCGGGAGAUAGCUGGUUCUCCCCGAAAGCUAUUUAGGUAGCGCCUCGUGAAUUCAUCUCCGGGGGUAGAGCACUGUUUCGGCAAGGGGGUCAUCCCGACUUACCAACCCGAUGCAAACUGCGAAUACCGGAGAAUGUUAUCACGGGAGACACACGGCGGGUGCUAACGUCCGUCGUGAAGAGGGAAACAACCCAGACCGCCAGCUAAGGUCCCAAAGUCAUGGUUAAGUGGGAAACGAUGUGGGAAGGCCCAGACAGCCAGGAUGUUGGCUUAGAAGCAGCCAUCAUUUAAAGAAAGCGUAAUAGCUCACUGGUCGAGUCGGCCUGCGCGGAAGAUGUAACGGGGCUAAACCAUGCACCGAAGCUGCGGCAGCGACGCUGAUGCGUUGUUGGGUAGGGGAGCGUUCUGUAAGCCUGCGAAGGUGUGCUGUGAGGCAUGCUGGAGGUAUCAGAAGUGCGAAUGCUGACAUAAGUAACGAUAAAGCGGGUGAAAAGCCCGCUCGCCGGAAGACCAAGGGUUCCUGUCCAACGUUAAUCGGGGCAGGGUGAGUCGACCCCUAAGGCGAGGCCGAAAGGCGUAGUCGAUGGGAAACAGGUUAAUAUUCCUGUACUUGGUAUUACUGCGAAGGGGGGACGGAGAAGGCUAUGUUGGCCGGGCGACGGUUGUCCCGGUUUAAACGUGUAGGCUGGUUUUCCAGGCAAAUCCGGAAAAUCAAGGCUGAGGCGUGAUGACGAGGCACUACGGUGCUGAAGCAACAAAUGCCCUGCUUCCAGGAAAAGCCUCUAAGCAUCAGGUAACAUCAAAUCGUACCCCAAACCGACACAGGUGGUCAGGUAGAGAAUACCAAGGCGCUUGAGAGAACUCGGGUGAAGGAACUAGGCAAAAUGGUGCCGUAACUUCGGGAGAAGGCACGCUGAUAUGUAGGUGAAGUCCCUCGCGGAUGGAGCUGAAAUCAGUCGAAGAUACCAGCUGGCUGCAACUGUUUAUUAAAAACACAGCACUGUGCAAACACGAAAGUGGACGUAUACGGUGUGACGCCUGCCCGGUGCCGGAAGGUUAAUUGAUGGGGUCAGCGCAAGCGAAGCUCUUGAUCGAAGCCCCGGUAAACGGCGGCCGUAACUAUAACGGUCCUAAGGUAGCGAAAUUCCUUGUCGGGUAAGUUCCGACCUGCACGAAUGGCGUAAUGAUGGCCAGGCUGUCUCCACCCGAGACUCAGUGAAAUUGAACUCGCUGUGAAGAUGCAGUGUACCCGCGGCAAGACGGAAAGACCCCGUGAACCUUUACUAUAGCUUGACACUGAACAUUGAGCCUUGAUGUGUAGGAUAGGUGGGAGGCUUUGAAGUGUGGACGCCAGUCUGCAUGGAGCCGACCUUGAAAUACCACCCUUUAAUGUUUGAUGUUCUAACGUUGACCCGUAAUCCGGGUUGCGGACAGUGUCUGGUGGGUAGUUUGACUGGGGCGGUCUCCUCCUAAAGAGUAACGGAGGAGCACGAAGGUUGGCUAAUCCUGGUCGGACAUCAGGAGGUUAGUGCAAUGGCAUAAGCCAGCUUGACUGCGAGCGUGACGGCGCGAGCAGGUGCGAAAGCAGGUCAUAGUGAUCCGGUGGUUCUGAAUGGAAGGGCCAUCGCUCAACGGAUAAAAGGUACUCCGGGGAUAACAGGCUGAUACCGCCCAAGAGUUCAUAUCGACGGCGGUGUUUGGCACCUCGAUGUCGGCUCAUCACAUCCUGGGGCUGAAGUAGGUCCCAAGGGUAUGGCUGUUCGCCAUUUAAAGUGGUACGCGAGCUGGGUUUAGAACGUCGUGAGACAGUUCGGUCCCUAUCUGCCGUGGGCGCUGGAGAACUGAGGGGGGCUGCUCCUAGUACGAGAGGACCGGAGUGGACGCAUCACUGGUGUUCGGGUUGUCAUGCCAAUGGCACUGCCCGGUAGCUAAAUGCGGAAGAGAUAAGUGCUGAAAGCAUCUAAGCACGAAACUUGUCCCGAGAUGAGUUCUCCCUGACUCCUUGAGAGUCCUGAAGGAACGUUGAAGACGACGACGUUGAUAGGCCGGGUGUGUAAGCGCAGCGAUGCGUUGAGCUAACCGGUACUAAUGAACCGUGAGGCUUAACCUU